rnacentral:misc_RNA from 1 species
GAAAUGCGAUAAGUAAUGUGAAUUGCAGAAUUCAGUGAAUCAUCGAAUCUUUGAACGCACAUUGCGCCCGCCAGUAUUCUGGCGGGCAUGCCUGUUCGAGCGUCAUUUCAGCCAUCAAGCCCCGCGCUUGUGUUGGGGACCUGCGGCUGCCGCAGGCCCUGAAAACCAGUGGCGGGCUCGCUGUCACACCGGGCGUAGUAGAUUUUAUCUCGCUCAGGGCGUGCUGCGGGUUCCGGCCGUUAAAAAGCCUUUUUUACCCAAGGUUGACCUCGGAUCAGGUAGGAAGACCCGCUGAACUUAAGC